AGUGAACGCUGGCGGUAGGCCUAACACAUGCAAGUCGAACGGCAGCACAGUAAGAGCUUGCUCUUACGGUUGGCGAGUGGCGGACGGGUGAGGAAUACAUCGGAAUCUACUUUUUCGGGGGGGAUAACGUAGGGAAACUUACGCUAAUACCGCAUACGACCUACGGGUGAAAGCAGGGGAUCUUCGGACCUUUCGCGAUUGAAUGAGCCGAUGCCGGAUUAGCUAGUUGGCGGGGUAAAGCCCACCAAGGCGACGAUCCGUAGCUGGUCUGAGAGGAUGAUCAGCCACACUGGAACUGAGACACGGUCCAGACUCCUACGGGAGGCAGCAGUGGGGAAUAUUGGACAAUGGGCGCAAGCCUGAUCCAGCCAUACCGCGUGAGUGAAGAAGGCCUUCGGGUUGUAAAGCCCUUUUGUUGGGAAAGAAAAGCAGCAGGUUAAUACCCGGAUGUUCUGACGGUACCCAAAGAAUAAGCACCGGCUAACUUCGUG
rnacentral:rRNA from 1 species